UACGUAGGGGGCAAGCGUUGUCCGGAUUUAUUGGGCGUAAAGAGCGUGUAGGCGGCUUUACAGGUCCGUUGUGAAAACUCGAGGCUCAACCUCGAGACGCCGGUGGAAACCGUAAAGCUAGAGUCCGGAAGAGGAGAGUGGAAUUCCUGGUGUAGCGGUGAAAUGCGUAGAUAUCAGGAGGAACACCGGUGGCGAAGGCGGCCCUCUGGACGGUGACUGACGCUGAGACGCGAAAGCGUGGGGAGCAAACAGG
rnacentral:rRNA from 1 species